AGUGAACGCUGGCGGCGUGCUUAACACAUGCAAGUCGAACGAGAACGGAUUAUAGCUUGCUAUAAUUGUCAGCUAAGUGGCGCACGGGUGAGUAAUGUAUAGGUAAUAUGCCUCUUACUAAGGGAUAACAAUUGGAAACGAUUGCUAAUACCUUAUAUUCCUUUUUAUCAAAAGAUAAAAAGGGAAAGAUUUAUUGGUAAGAGAUUAGCCUGUAUUGUAUCAGUUAGUUGGUGGGGUAAUGGCCUACCAAGACGAUGACGCAUAACUGGUUUGAGAGGAUGAUCAGUCACACUGGAACUGAGACACGGACCAGACUCCUACGGGAGGCAGCAGUGGGGAAUAUUGCACAAUGGACGAAAGUCUGAUGCAGCAACGCCGCGUGGAGGACGACACAUUUCGGUGCGUAAACUCCUUUUAUAUGAGAAGAUAAUGACGGUAUUAUAUGAAUAAGCACCGGCUAACUCCGUGCCAGCAGCCGCCGUAAUAC
rnacentral:rRNA from 1 species